rnacentral:rRNA from 1 species
UGGGGAAUAUUGGACAAUGGGGGCAACCCUGAUCCAGCGAUGCCGCGUGGGUGAAGAAGGCCUUCGGGUUGUAAAGCCCUUUAGGUUGGGAAGAAGUGUGUAUUCAGAUAAUGGGUAUACAUUGACGGUACCGACAGAAUAAGCACCGGCAAACUCUGUGCCAGCAGCCGCGGUAAUACAGAGGGUGCGAGCGUUAAUCGGAGUUACUGGGCGUAAAGGGCGCGUAGGCGGUGAGAUGUGUGUGAUGUGAAAGCCCUGGGCUUAACCUGGGAAGUGCAUCGCAAACUAUCUGACUGGAGUACAAGAGAGGGUGGCGGAAUUUCCGGUGUAGCGGUGAAAUGCGUAGAGAUCGGAAGGAACGUCAAUGGCGAAGGCAGCCACCUGGCUUGAUACUGACGCUGAGGCGCGAAAGCGUGGGGAGCGAACAGG